GACGAACGCUGGCGGCGUGCUUAACACAUGCAAGUCGAACGGAAAGGCCCUGCUUUUGUGGGGUGCUCGAGUGGCGAACGGGUGAGUAACACGUGAGUAACCUGCCCUUGACUUUGGGAUAACUUCAGGAAACUGGGGCUAAUACCGGAUAGGAGCUCCUGCUGCAUGGUGGGGGUUGGAAAGUUUCGGCGGUUGGGGAUGGACUCGCGGCUUAUCAGCUUGUUGGUGGGGUAGUGGCUUACCAAGGCUUUGACGGGUAGCCGGCCUGAGAGGGUGACCGGCCACAUUGGGCCUGAGAUACGGCCCAGACUCCUACGGGAGGCAGCAGUCGGGAAUAUUGCACAAUGGGCGGAAGCCUGAUGCAGCAACGCCGCGUGCGGGAUGACGGCCUUCGGGUUGUAAACCGCUUUCGCCUGUGACGAAGCGUGAGUGACGGUAAUGGGUAAAGAAGCACCGGCUAACUACGUG
rnacentral:rRNA from 1 species